rfam:Canis lupus familiaris chromosome 22, whole genome shotgun sequence.
AGGAGCAACAGCCCUAGUGGCGGGGCCAGCUCUGGAAACCUGGAUUCAGCCCCCGCAGGAACUCUGGAGCUCUCCGUCUGCAGGGCCUGGAGGCUCCGGGGCGGG